UGGUGAUCCUGCCAGUAGCCAUAUGCUUGUCUCAAAGAUUAAGCCAUGCAUGUGUAAGUAUGAACUAAUUCAGACUGUGAAAUUGUGAAUGGCUUAUUAAAUCAGUUAUAGUUUGUUUGAUGGUACUUGCUGCUUGGAUAACUAUAGUAAUUCUAGAGCUAAUAUGUGCAACAAACCCCAACUUCUAGAAGGGAUGCAUUUAUUAGAUAAAAGGUCGAUGCGGCUUUGCCCAUUGCUCUGAUGAUUCAUGAUAACUCGAUAGAUCGCAUGGCCUUUGCAUCGACGAUGCAUCAUUCAAAUUUCUUCCCCAUUAACUUUCGAUGGUAGGAUAGUGGGCUACCAUGGUGGUGACUGGUGACAGAGAAUUAGGGUUCGAUUCUGGAGGGGGAGCCUGAGAAACAGUCACCACAUCGAAGGAAGGAAGUAGGCGUGUAAAUUAUUCAAUCCUGACAUAGGGCCAUAGUGACAAAAAUAACAAUACCGGGCUCUUCGAGUCUGGUAAUUGGAAUGAGUACAAUCUAAAUCCCUUAACGAGGAUCUAUUGGAGGGUAAGUCUGGUGCCAACAAUCGCGGUAAUUCCAGCUCCAAUAGCGUAUAUUUAAGUUGUUACAAUUAAAAAGCUCAUAGUUAGACCUUAGAGUGGGCCAACCUAUCCACCUUGUGGUGUCCACCGGUCGUCCUGCUCUUUCUACAGGUGAUGCGCUCCUGAGCUUAAUUGGCCAAGUCAUGCCACUAACACUGUUACUUUGAAGAAAUUGGAGCGCUCAAAGCAAGCCCACGCUUUGGAUACAUUAUUAUGGGAUAACAACAUAGGAUUUCAGUCCUAUUGUGUUGGCCUUUGGGAUCAAAGUAAUGAUUAACAAGGACAGUCAGGGGCACUUGUAUUACAUAGCCAGAGGUGAAAUUCUUGGAUUUAUGAAAGAUGAACAACUGCGAAAGCAUUUGCCAAGGAUGUUUUCAUUAAUCAAGAAUGAAAGAUAAUCAGAUACCAUCCCAGCCUCAACCAUAAACGAUGCCGACCAAGGAUCGGUGGUUGUUGCUUUUAGGACACCACCGAUACCUUAUACGAAAUCAAAGCUUUUGGUUUCGAGGGGAGUAUAGUCAUAUGGCUAAAACUUAAAGGAAUUCACGAAAGGGCAGCACCAGGAGUGGAGCCUGCGGCUUAAUUUGAUUUAACACGGGGAAACUUACUAAGUCCAAAUAUAGUAAGGAUUGACAGACUGAGAGCUCUUUCUUAAUUCCAUGGGUGGUGGUGCACGGUGAUUCUUAGUUGGUGGAGCGAUAUAUCUGAUUAAUUCUGUUAACGAACGAGACCUUAGCCUGCUAACUAGCUAUCUAGUGGCCACCGUUUGCAUCACGCCGUGCACGCACAGCGCCGGGGAGGGCUCCUCGGAUCCUAAGGUGUUGAAAGCGCAAGACCGUUACAUUCCCAUGCUCGGUAGGGCUACCUGCUGAGUUUAAGCACAUCAAUAAGCGGAGGAAAAGAAACUUACAAGGACUCCCCUAAUAAUGGCGAGUGAAUCGGGAAGAGUCCAGCUUUAAAAUCGGGUGGCCUCACCAUCCGAAUUGUAGUCUGGAGAAGCGUCCCCUUCGACGAACUGGGCCCAAGUCCCCUGGAAAAGGGUUCCAGAAAGGGUGAGAGCCUUGUCGUGCCCGAACCCUAUCAUAUCACGAGGAGCUAUCGC
rnacentral:rRNA from 1 species